rnacentral:rRNA from 1 species
GACGAACCGUGCAACGUUGUUCGGAAUCACUGGGCUUAAAGGGCGCGUAGGCGGCUUGCCAAGUCAGGGGUGAAAUCUUUCGGCUCAACCGGAAAAGUGCCUCUGAUACUGGCGAGCUAGAGGGAGGUAGGGGCAUGUGGAACUUCCGGUGGAGCGGUGAAAUGCGUUGAUAUCGGAAGGAACGCCGGUGGCGAAAGCGACGUGCUGGAUCUCUUCUGACGCUGAGGCGCGAAAGCUAGGGGAGCGAACGGG